rnacentral:tRNA from 1 species
UGGGGAAUCGUCUAAGGGUAGGACUGCAGUCUCUGGAUCUGCCUAUCGGGGUUCGAAUCCCUGUUCCCCAGCCA